UGGUUUAAUUCGAUGCAACGCGAAGAACCUUACCUGGGCUUGACAUCCCAACGAAUCCCCUCGGAAACAGGGAGUGCCUUCGGGAGCUUGGAGACAGGUGCUGCAUGGCUGUCGUCAGCUCGUGUCGUGAGAUGUUGGGUUAAGUCCCGCAACGAGCGCAACCCUUGCCUUUAGUUGCCAUCAUUCAGUUGGGCACUCUAGAGGGACUGCCGGUGUCAAACCGGAGGAAGGUGGGAUGACGUCAAGUCCUCAUGGCCUUUAUGCCCAGGGCUACACACGUGCUACAAUGGGCGGUACAAAGAGCAGCGAGCUCGCGAGAGUAAGCAAAUCUCAAAAAGCCGUCCUCAGUUCGGAUUGGAGUCUGCAACUCGACUCCAUGAAGUUGGAAUCGCUAGUAAUCGUGGAUCAGCAUGCCACGGUGAAUACGUUCCCGGGCCUU
rnacentral:rRNA from 1 species